AGUGCGCCUGCGCUGUUUGCACCACGAGUAGUAAAGUUGCUGAAGGUAUAGAAGAGAAACAUCCACAGAAAUAUCGAUCUCAUCACGCUAGUAUCGAGUAAUUUACUGAUCCUAACUUUGGUAUCGAUAUUUCGAUCGAUUCGCCCAACCCUACUUCGAGCGAGCUAAAAAACACCGUAAAGACAACCGUCGGUGCUGCUCGAAGCUGGAGGAGGUGUGAGCUCUGCUAUGGGUCAGAGUGAGGAUAAAGAGGAGGGAGUCCCUCCCUCUAAAAGCCCUCUGUGUGGGGACCAUGAGAGCCGGACCGAAGCUCAGAGCUGUGAGUCCACGAAAAGUGAUCGGUCGAUGGAUCUGCCCUUUAAUUUCAAACCUGAUCAGCCACCUGAUGAUCAAAGGUAAGAAUUCACACUAGAAGUUUUUCCAUGCUGUGAUGAGCACUGCUGUACUCUUAGGGUUGUAUGUGGGACUGCCUGUCUGUUUGCUCUGCAGGUGGUUGAUGGGAUGAUUUGGAGCACCUGUAACACAGGGUAAUACAUAUUACUACAAACUUUAACAGUUUAAAAUCAGAAUACUAAAUUGUUUACUUUCCAGGUGCCCCAUGCAAGCUCAGAAACAGGUUAGAAAUUUUAUAUAUAUUAUUAUUAUUAAGGUAUGGUAAACUAGUAAGUAAAUAAAAUAAAAUUCUAAACGAAUAAAAAUAAUAAA
rnacentral:lncRNA from 1 species